AGUGGCGAACGGGUGAGUAAUACAUAAGCAACCUACCCACGAAGACUGGGAUAAUCUCUGGAAAUGGGGACUAAUACCGGAUAGGUAAUCGGAAGGCAUCUUCUGGUUAUUAAAGGUUAAAAACACUGGUGGAUGGGCUUAUGGCGCAUUAGUUAGUUGGUGAGGUAACGGCCCACCAAGACGAUGAUGCGUAGCCGGCCUGAGAGGGUGAACGGCCACAUUGGGACUGAGACACGGCCCAG
rnacentral:rRNA from 1 species